rnacentral:tRNA from 1 species
GCACACGUGGCGGAAUGGUAAACGCGGUAGCUUUGGAAGCUACUGGCUGGGAGGCCUUGCGGGUUCGAUUCCCGCCGUGUGCA